UGUCAUUUUGUCCUCCUGUCCCUAGAACAUAAAAGAGCUGUUGCCAUAUUGCAGGCACUCUAUUACAAAUCUGUGAAUGACUGAAAGAAGGUCAUACUAGAAUCCUAGAAACAUGAUCACCAUGAGGAACUGUGAAGCUGCUACGUAAUGUGAAAGAAUAUUCCCGACAGAGAGGCCCCAUUGCCUAAAGAAAAUUUGAUUUGCUUAAUAUUGCAAUGAAGUGAUUUGUAAGGAGCAGACUCUAGAAUGAAGCCAUGGGACAUCUGACUUCACACCAAGUGACUUGAAGUCACCACAUUCACGGGAAUCAUCCUAUAUUGGCUGCCGCCUCUCUCCUCCUUGGGUCCCUCAUCCAAGGAACUGGACUCCUCGUGGAUGCUACCCAGAUUUAUGCUGGCUUUUAUGUUGAAAUCAGACUACAGAAGAACACCAACCCAACUAUUUACUCAUCAAAAAGACAUCAAGGGGAAGCAGGAAUCUGGG